GAUUAGAUACCCUGGUAGUCCACGCCGUAAACGAUGAGUGCUAAGUGUUAGGGGGUUUCCGCCCUUAGUGCUGCAGCUAACGCAUUAAGCACUCCGCCUGGGGAGUACGGUCGCAAGACUGAAACUCAAAGGAAUUGACGGGGGCCCGCACAAGCGGUGGAGCAUGUGGUUUAAUUCGAAGCAACGCGAAGAACCUUACCAGGUCUUGACAUCCCGCCGACCGCCUAGGAGACUAGGCCUUCCCUUCGGGGACGGCGGUGACAGGUGGUGCAUGGUUGUCGUCAGCUCGUGUCGUGAGAUGUUGGGUUAAGUCCCGCAACGAGCGCAACCCUUGAUCUUAGUUGCCAGCAUUCAGUUGGGCACUCUAAGGUGACUGCCGGUGACAAACCGGAGGAAGGUGGGGAUGACGUCAAAUCAUCAUGCCCCUUAUGACCUGGGCUACACACGUGCUACAAUGGAUGGUACAAAGGGCUGCGAACCCGCGAGGGGGAGCCAAUCCCAUAAAACCAUUCUCAGUUCGGAUUGUAGGCUGCAACUCGCCUACAUGAAGCUGGAAUCGCUAGUAAUCGUGGAUCAGCAUGCCACGGUGAAUACGUUCCCGGGCCUUGUACACACCGCCCGUCACACCACGAGAGUUUGUAACACCCGAAGUCGGUGGGGUAACCUUUAUGGAGCCAGCCGCCGAAGGUGGGACAGAUGAUUGGGGUGAAGUCGUAACAAGG
rnacentral:rRNA from 1 species